GCAAAUGUAUUUUCAUUUUCAUGAAACCUUUUGUGGGGUAUGCAGGAUAGUUCUGAAGAUCCUUCCAAGUCCAAUGCAGCGGAUGGUUCUAGUAAUCAUGCUGUAAACCCCAGUGAUGAGGUAGUUUUAAUCUCAGUCUCUUCCUCUGCACACACACACAGAAAUUCUUUUACAGAUAAUUUAGGGUGAUUCCAACAUCUUUUCUCUGUUAUUGAGAAAUUGAAAGCUUCUAAUUAAUGAAUUGUUAUGAUACUUGUCUAAUGGGUAUUGGGGUGAUUUUCUUGUUCAGGAAUUGCCUGAAACUGCAGAACACUUUACGAACGUUCUGCCACUGGGAAUUGGGCAUUCUUCAACAAAUGAGAAUGAACAGGUAUUCCUAUUUGAGUAAUCUUACCUACACAACUGUACAGGCGGCUUCAUCUGGGUUUAAAUAGCCCCACUUUACCAAUGAAACUUAAAAUGGAGCCAACUAUAAUGAGUAUGUAGGUAACAAAAUUCUUUAUAAGAUGCAUAUGAGUAGUUACCUCUUACGUGGGGUUUAUUUGAUCAACAGGAACCUCUGGUCGAGCUUUCUAAUCCUUCAGAUACAGAUAUUGAUAUUCCAGGAAACUUUGAUUAGAAGGUUCUAAGUGAUUCAUUA
rnacentral:lncRNA from 1 species